GUGUUGCUGAGGUGGGCCGUCUGCAUU
rnacentral:piRNA from 1 species